rnacentral:rRNA from 1 species
GACGAACGCUGGCGGCGUGCUUAACACAUGCAAGUCGAACGGAAAGGCCUGCUUUUGUGGGGUGCUCGAGUGGCGAACGGGUGAGUAACACGUGAGCAACCUGCCCUUGACUUUGGGAUAACUUCAGGAAACUGGGGCUAAUACCGGAUAGGAGCUCCUGCUGCAUGGUGGGGGUUGGAAAGUUUCGGCGGUUGGGGAUGGACUCGCGGCUUAUCAGCUUGUUGGUGGGGUAGUGGCUUACCAAGGCUUUGACGGGUAGCCGGCCUGAGAGGGUGACCGGCCACAUUGGGACUGAGAUACGGCCCAGACUCCUACGGGAGGCAGCAGUGGGGAAUAUUGCACAAUGGGCGGAAGCCUGAUGCAGCAACGCCGCGUGCGGGAUGACGGCCUUCGGGUUGUAAACCGCUUUCGCCUGUGACGAAGCGUGAGUGACGGUAAUGGGUAAAGAAGCACCGGCUAACUACGUG